UCAGGAGAGCAAGGCCGCCCCCCGCCAGCAGGCCCCUCCCCCUUCCCACCAGGGCAUCCCACCGACCAACCAACGGAGAUCUCAUCGUUAUGCUGGGUUCCGCCCUCAGAAUGCCCAUCGGCCUGGCUUCACCGGCCCACCGCAGGGCUGUGAUGUGAGGACAUCCGGGAUGACGACUAGAAUGACCCUUGACCCUGUCUGCAUGUCUGGGGACGGACACCCACAGAAGCCCAAACCUCACCUGUACAGCGAGAGUUUAGUGGAGCGAGUGACUGCGGUGGGAGGCCGGUGUCCGGUAAACGCACCACCAGGAUUCACCCAGUCGGACCGAGGCCCCAGACGGAACCUCUUCUAAACCCUUUACCCCAUUGAGGCGGCGGCCAUUUUAAAUGAUUUGCCUUUUGGUUUAUAGUUUAUUUGUUUUUCUUCAUGUCAUUGUUUACUUAGUAAUAAAUACUUGUUUUGUGCAUGUUGGUA